UUUAAGUAUGAAAGAGGCGUGGCUAGGGGCUAGAUACUUAUUUUUAACACUUCCAUUGAAACACCCGGAGUCUCCCAAGGUCUAACCUCUAGAAGUCGGGUGGCAGAACCUGAAUCAGAACCCGAGUGAGCCUUCCUUCCUCCACCACCUCCCUUUAGGAACGCAUGCCUAAAUAGUCGAUAAAAUCUACUUCUCAAUGUCAUGAUUAACCCAAAAGCCAGCCACAACCAAUCGUGUUAUUAGAGUGCUAAAAGCCUCUAUCCACAACAAACACUCCACUUGGGAUGACAUUAAAACUUUCGAUAAAGGUGUACUUUCAACGUCGUGCUUUAGCCUUUGAAAAUACAUUUACAAAACUGCAGCUGCAGUCAAAAGGAAAACAUCACACGCCUCGAAAGCUGAAGGGCGUGCCUUUUUCUCUAACGAAGACCGUGUGGCCAUUUCUUCUCAAAGGGUCUGCAGUCACUUAAGAUAGCAACGCGUAAAGGACAGCCGUUCUGAGAAGACAACCAGCUCCCCUGAGAUGGGAGGCGGGCUGCACGCUGGUAAAGAGGAUUUUUCAAUUCAAGGACUUUGAGGAGAUUCCGCCCAGAUAAGCUGGAGGGGAGCGAAUGCACGUCCAUCCAGCAGGGGCAGGGCACCGGGAAAGACCGCAAAGAAGAAAGUGUCCGGUUUAAGGACCCGCGCCCUGCACCUCACCGGGAGCCCGGCGGCCUCGCAGCAGGCGGCUCCCUUCUUAGUCCGCCCCGCGGCUGCGGGUCGACGACGCGAGCCCGAAGAGCGUUCACACGGCUACGGCCGCGGCCGGCCCGUCCCCGCAGGCUGGCCUCUGAGGGAGGCUACCAGAAAAUAUACUCUUUAGUACCUGUUUGUGCACUUUAGUGAGCUGUUCAAGAUUAUUUUCAAGAAAGGAGAUUUUUUGCUUCUGAGCAGCGCUGCCUCCGGUGUCAUCAGAAUCAAUCUCAGCACUCUGAGAAAAGAAG
rnacentral:lncRNA from 1 species